rnacentral:lncRNA from 1 species
CAGUGCUGGCGGCAGUAUCGGCAAAGACUCUGAGCGUAGAGGUGGUGGAUGACAAGACUCUCUAACUAGUCAUUAUUUGUUCAGGUUCUAUGGUGGUCGUGCAUUAGAAGCUCUCAUCAAAAGUGCUUGCUAUUGUAUGACGGGUGAUGAUUAGACUUGAAAUUUUUUUUUUUAAAUUUGGGUUUUGGAGAAGAGAUAAAACACUCUUUCGAAUUAAUGAGAGAAGAACUAAAAGACAAUAGAGGAUAUAUAUAUAUGUAUAUUCUUUUUCUAC